rnacentral:tRNA from 12 species
GCCCCGAUAGCCCAAUUGGCAGAGGCAGAUGACUUAAAAUCAUCACAGUCAGGGUUCGAGUCCCUGUCGGGGCA